AGCGAACGUUUGCGGCGGGCCUAACACAUGCAAGUCGAACGCACUAGCAAUAGUGAGUGGCGCACGGGUGCGUAACACGUGGGUAAUCAACCCUUCAGCUUGGGAUAACGACUUGAAAGGGUCGCUAAUACCGGAUACGGCGCGGGAGGCUUCGGCUUCUCACGAGAAAGCCUCGCAAGGGGCACUGAAGGACGAGCCUGCGGCCCAUCAGCUAGUUGGUGAGGUAAGAGCUCACCAAGGCGAAGACGGGUAGCUGGUCUGAGAGGAUGAUCAGCCACACUGGAACUGAGACACGGUCCAGACUCCUACGGGAGGCAGCAGUGGGGAAUAUUGCGCAAUGGGCGAAAGCCUGACGCAGCCACGCCGCGUGAGCGAUGAAGGCCUUCGGGUCGUAAGACUCUGUGGGGAGGAGACGAAGAAAGACCCGUGAAGAGCGGGCCGUUGACGGUAGUCUCCUUAGCAAGCACCGGCUAACUCCGUGCCAGCAGCCGCGGUAAU
rnacentral:rRNA from 1 species